rnacentral:rRNA from 1 species
GAUGAACGCUGGCGGCGCGCCUAACACAUGCAAGUCGAACGGCACCCACCUCCGGGUGGAAGCGAGUGGCGAACGGCUGAGUAACACGUGGAGAACCUGCCCCCUCCCCCGGGAUAGCCGCCCGAAAGGACGGGUAAUACCGGAUACCCCGAGGUGCCGCAUGGCACCCCGGCUAAAGCCCCGACGGGAGGGGAUGGCUCCGCGGCCCAUCAGGUAGACGGCGGGGUGACGGCCCACCGUGCCGACAACGGGUAGCCGGGUUGAGAGACCGACCGGGCAGAUUGGGACGGAGACACGGCCCAGACUACUACGGGAGGCAGCAGUGGGGAGUCUUGGGCAAUGGGGGGAACCCUGACGCAGCGACGCCGCGUGCGGGACGGAGGCCUUCGGGUCGUAAACCGCUUUCAGCAGGGAAGAGAAGAGACUGUACCUGCAGAAGAAGCCCCGGCUAACUACGUGCCAGCAGCCGCAGUAA